rnacentral:rRNA from 1 species
CCUACGGGAGGCUGCAGUGAGGAAUAUUGGUCAAUGGGCGUAAGCCUGAACCAGCCAAGUCGCGUGAGGGAUGAAGGUUCUAUGUAUCGUAAACCUCUUUUAUACGGGAGUAAAGUUCGGGACGUGUACCGUUCUGUAUGUACCUUAUGAAUAAGGAUCGGCUAACUCCGUGCCAGCAGCCGCGGUAAUACGGAGGAUCCAAGCGUUAUCCGGAUUUAUUGGGUUUAAAGGGUGCGUAGGCGGCUUGUUAAGUUAGCGGUGAAAGGCUGUGGCUUAACCAUAGAAUUGCCGUUGAAACUGGGGGGCUUGAGUGUGUUUGAGGCAGGCGGAAUGCGUGGUGUAGCGGUGAAAUGCUUAGAUAUCACGCAGAACACCGAUUGCGAAGGCAGCCUGCCAAGCCAUGACUGACGCUGAGGCACGAAAGCGUGGGGAUCAAACAGGAUUAGAUACCCGAGUAGUC